rnacentral:rRNA from 1 species
GAUGAACGCUGGCGGCGUGCUUAACACAUGCAAGUCGAACGGAAAGGCCAGUGCUUGCACUGGUACUCGAGUGGCGAACGGGUGAGUAACACGUGGGUGAUCUGCCCUGCACUUCGGGAUAAGCCUGGGAAACUGGGUCUAAUACCGGAUAGGACAAUGGUUUGGAUGCCGUUGUGGAAAGUUUUUUCGGUGUGGGAUGAGCUCGCGGCCUAUCAGCUUGUUGGUGGGGUAAUGGCCUACCAAGGCGUCGACGGGUCGCCGGCCUGAGAGGGUGUACGGCCACAUUGGAACUGAGAUACGGCACAGACUCCUACGGGAGGCAGCAGUGGGGAAUAUUGCACAAUGGGCGCAAGCCUGAUGCAGCGACGCCGCGUGGGGGAUGACGGCCUUCGGGUUGUAAACUCCUUUCGCUAGGGACGAAGCGUAUUUGUGACGGUACCUGGAGAAGAAGCACCGGCUAACUACGUG